rnacentral:lncRNA from 1 species
CGGCAAGGGGCCAGAGCGGGUUUUAAUCCGGUUCAAACCCAAGGAGGAGGCUAGUAGGGGCGACUCGGAGGAGGACCUGUCCUUGGCAUCGGGCUUCUUGGAGGUAGAAGAAGAAGAGGGCUUAGAAGGUGGUGUUCGGGGUUUGAGGUCCUUGCUUCUAGGUCCAUCUUUUACUUGGGUUUGCUUGCAAGCAACGGGAGAGAAAAGGGAAGUGGAAGUGGAAGUGGAAGUGGAGGCCUGUUGGGAAGUAGAAGCUCUGGGUUUCUUCUUGUCGGAUCGGAUGGGGGAAUUGGAAGCAGAUCGAGGGCUGUUUGAUCCGUCAGAAUCCGAUUUCUUCGAAGAGAAGAAGAGCUUGUUUUUGAACACCAUUUCAUUUAUUCACUGUUUUCUUCAAGCACAAAGGAAGAAUGAAAGGCACCACUAAAUGAUUUUUCCACCAACCAUUUCUCUUCUUGAAUAAAACCAAGUUUGUUUGUUGUUCAAAUAAAAGAGAGCGUUGAAGAAGUUGGAUUUUGUUCAAAGCCUUGAGAUUGAAGAGAAAGAAUGCGACAUCUAAGGGGGCAAAGUAGGUGGAUGACGGAUGGAUGGAUAGCAUGAUAUAUAUUAGAAAACCGAACCGGAUCGGUCGCAUCAAAUUUUGACUACCAUGUGACUUUUAGACGUCACUUCUAACAAAUAUUUGGUCAAUUUCUACUAUUAGCCCCUUACUAUCGUUGAGUUGUAGAUUUACUCUUUAUAUCUUUCAAAUUUUGAAAUUUCACUCUUAAUCAAAAUAAUAACCAUUAAAAUCAUUAGUUAAAUUAUGUCAUUUUCAUAAUUUAGGUCAUAAACAUACUAUCACAUAUAAUAUAAUAUCAGUUACUCACAAAAAAUUAUGUCAUUUUAGUUAAUGAAUUUAACAAUUUUUAUUUGAGUUGUGACUGGAAUUUUAAAAUUCAAGCAGUGUAAAGAUUAAAAAUUAUCAAAUUGAAGAACAUCAAAUAAAUCUACAACUUAUACAUAGUAUGAAAUUAAUAGAAAAGUUUGACCUAACGAAUUUAAAAGGGUACCAUUUGGAUCAAAAAUAAAUUUUCAAAAUUUUCAAAAUAUAAAAAUUAAAAUUCAUCAAAUUAGUAAAUUUACAACGUGUUUGUUUGUCAAAAUGAAAUUUAGUGGGUUUUCUUUUUUGGUUAGAGAUGCUCCAUAACAACAGAAGCAAGCAGAUUUCAGCAGAGCACACAGCUCUUCUAGGGGUGCAAGGGCCAAAGUUGCAAGCAUGAACCCUGUUGAGUUAAUUUUUUUUUUUUGUCUCAAUUACCAAAUUAAGCACUUAAAUUUGACUUCAAUGGUUAAUUUGAUACCUAUAUUUUUUUUUCAAAUUAAAUUCUUAUCUUUUUUAUUAAAGCAAACAUGGUGUCAUUGGAUAUGGGUAUCAAAUUGAGAUUAAAAAAUAUAAAAUUAAACAUUCAAAGUAAAAUUUAGUUAACAAAUGAUAUAUUAACUGAAAAAUUGAUAAUAUAAUCAAAAUUAUAUGAUGAGGUCCUAAACCAUCGAGUACUUAAGUUCAAGUCUCACUAUACACAAUUGUAAUGUGUGAUUACAUGAGAAUUAUGUUACGUUGCUUCUAAUUCUUUAUCCAUUAUGCUUUGCAUUGAUUUAAUUUGAUAUUUUAGUUGCUCAUACAAUACUUGAUUGUAUUUGUAAUAUUAAAACUUUAAAACGAAAAAAUUGUAAUAUUAAAACUUUAAAACGAAAAAAAAAAAACACUUACAGCGUGUUUGGUUGGGUGUAUUGGAUUAGCCAAUACACCCCUAAUCCGUGGGCCCCACUAAUCCCCACUUAAUCCCGUGUUUAGUUUGAUGUAUUGCCUAUUACAGGCCUAUUACAACACGGAUGUAUUCCUCAUUUUCUCUGCUUCAACAACUAUUAGCCAUUCCGUUUCAAAAGUAAGGAUUAGCUAAUCGUUUCUGUUUUACCCUCCCCAGCCAAAAUCUACUGCUCCACCCCACCCUCUCCCUCCCAACAUCAACAAUAGUUUUCUUCGAACCAAAUCUCCACCGUCUCGCGUUUGGGAAGCGAGAAAGUGCGAGAAAAAUGAGUGGAUCGGGGAAGAAAGUCGUCGAUGUCGCGUUCAAAGCAUCAAAUAACAUUGAUUGGGAAGGGAUGGCUAAGCUUUUGGUCUCCGAUGAGGCUCGCAAAGAGUUCGCUACUCUUCGUCGCACUUUUGAUGAAGUUAACUCUACUUUACAAACCAAAUUCAGCCAGGUCUUUUUCUUAUAUUCUCUCUAAUCCCUAACUCCUUUUUAGCAUUUUUAUUGAUUUUUUUCAUAGAUUUGUUGGGUUAAUCCGUUGAUUAGAUCUUAUAGGGUUUUAGUUUUUUAAUGAUGAUUUUAAUAUUUUAUAUUGAAACAAAUUUUCAAUAAGGUUGAAUUUUUUUGUUCAAGGUUUGAUUUUGGAACCAUUUUUUUUUCAUUUUUAAGGAAAUUUUAGUUUUGUUCAAGGUUUCAGUCCUAUCUUGUUAAUAAUCCGAUUUCUUAAGCAGGAACCUGAACCCAUUGACUGGGAGUACUAUAGAAAAGGAAUUGGCUCUCGCCUGGUAGAUAUGUACAAAGAGGCAUAUGAGAGUAAGUUAAUUUGAUAGUUAUCAUAUUUGGCCUACUCUCUAUCCAAUUUUCCAGUCAUCCUAUAUAUGGUUAUGCUUAGAUCAGUUGCAGGUCUGUAAAAUCAUAAUUUGUUUGGCUUCCACAUGUUUGUGUUCCUCAUGCGGUGCCACUUCCUGAAUUUGUUACUUUGAAGAUCAUCUCUAUGGUACAAGGGAACUAUUACUUAGUUGGAUGCUGAUAUGGUCACCUUAAGUAGCUAGCUCUUUCCUUUCUUCACUCUCGGUUUUUGGGGUUUUGGAAGGGGUAUUAGUAAAGUAUGGAUUUUAUUGCUAUUGCUUUAUAUUUCUCUGACUAUUUUUUACGGAAAUAUCAAUGCCUGACCUAUAUCUGGACCAUAGAUAUGGGGAUAUGACCCUUCAAGGACCCUACAAAUUCUUGGAAAAAAGUUGAACAUACCCAUUUUGGACAUUUAGCCUGAUCUGACACUUGCACUCGAGUUUGCGUAACACAGUUAUCAAUCAUUUUCCAGCUCCAGAUCUCCUUGAUCUUUCCUAGAUCAGUUCCAUGCCCCAUACUUCACUGAAAGUUAAAUGGAAAUCAGUUGCCAAUGAGGACAUUGUUUAAAUUGGCUGUUAUUUUGUUUGCAAAUACAAUUCUUAUUUGUGUGCAAUUCACUUGUUGAAUGCUAUUAGCAUUUAACAAUUUCAGAUUAAUGCCGUAGAUGUUUCAUUUCAAUAAUGCUAUUAUGUGAUCAGAUUCUUCUGGACACCAAAACUUGAGAUACUCCUAUACUUAUGUUCAAAGUAGAAUGAAGAAAAUAUAGACAUCUAGCUACUCAAUUCUCACUUGUCUGCAAUUUCUAGCAGUCGAAGUAAUCAUAUUUAUCAUGCUUGUUAUAAGGUUUGGAUGGAGUUUUAAGGGAUUCACAGUUACAAAUGUUAUAUACUCUUCCAUUGCAGGUGUAGAGAUCCCCAAGUUUGUUGACACCGUCACUCCUCAAUACAAACCAAAAUUUGAUGCAUUGGUGAGAAUCAACAGGAUAAUUGACUCUCUUUUACCCUAUCUCCAAGUUUUUUCCUCGAAUGAUGUGCUAUUUAUUUGUGGUUAUAGCUUGUAGAAUUGAAAGAGGCAGAGGAGGAAUCCUUGAAAGAGUCCGAGCGAUUGGAGAAAGAAAUUGCAGAGGUUCAAGAACUUAAGGUAAUAAAUAAAACAAUGCCGAAAUGUGUGUCGUUGUGUUCCAAAUCACAAUUGCUGAAUUUUUUAUCUUUUUUUAUGAACAGCAAAAGAUCAGCACCAUGACCGCAGACGAGUACUUUGAGAAACAUCCAGAGCUUAAAAAGAAAUUCGAUGAUGAGAUCCGGAAUGACUACUGGGGCUAUUGACAUAUUUGUGAAUUUAAUGGCCAAGCUUUUGGUCUCGACUAGAAUUUUUGAACCGUUUCUGUUGUUUUAACCCCUUUUUCUCUUGUGCGGUGAUCUGGGUUGGAAAGAUUAGGCUGUAAUGAUAAGAAAAUAAUUGUGUAAGAAAAAUUUAUCCAAUCAUUUGAGAAACAAGGUGGAUCUUGUAAGACAUGCAUUCUAUUUAGCAGGCAUCCGCAGUCAUACUUUCAUGGCAAAAUUUUUACUGUCUGCCCUCUUCAUUCCAUUCUGUUUUAUGUUUAUUAUUUGAAUAUUAUCUAGAUACAAUUGAAUUUGGACACCUAUUUAUCUAGAUCCAUUCUAUAUGUAUUUUUUAAUAAGUGGUUAUUUAUAUUAUUAGUAUUUUGAAAUUUUAAAUUAUAUAAAUUAAUAUAAAAAAGGUUUUUACAUCAAGAAUGAAUUUAUUGAUUCAAGUGCAUCUAAACAAUCAUUUAUCCAAAUUCAUCGGGACGUGCUUUUUAGUUCUUUUUAAUAUUAAUUAUUUUAAAUUGUAUAAAUUCAUAUAAGAAUAUUUAUUAUCAAGAAUUUUAUGAAAUUAUAUAUUAUUAUUAAAUUAUAUGUAAUAAUAAUUAUUUUAAAUUAUACAAAUUCAUAAAAUAUAAUUUAUUAGUUAUAAUUAUUUUAAAUUUUAUUAAAUCAUAUAUUUUAAUUAAAAUAUUUAAUAUUAAUUAUUUCAAAUUUUCUUUUAUAGUAUCAUAUAUUAUUAUUUGAGUAAAUUCAUAUAAGAAUAUUAAUUAUUAAGAAUUUUUAAAUUAUAUAUUUUAAUUAUAUAUAUAAUAUAAUAAUUAUUUUUAUUUUACAGUAUCAUAUAUUAUGAUUUGAGUAAAUUCAUAUAAUAUUAAUUAUUAAGAAUUUUAUUAAAUUAUAUAUUUAAUUAUAAUAUAUUUAAUAAUAAUUAUGUUUAAAUAUGAUUAAAUUAUUUAUUAUUGAUAUUAAUAAUCUUAUUAAAAUUUAAAUAACAAUAACAAUAAUAAUUUACCAAAACAAAUUUCUGCUAAUUAUUAAGAAUUUUAUUAAAUUAUAUAUUUUAAUUAAAAUAUAUUAAAUAAUAAUUAUAUUUAAAUAUGAUUAAAUUAUUUAUUAUUGAUAAUAAUAAUAUUAUUAAAAUUUAAAUAACAAUAACAAUAAUCAUUUACCAAAACAAAUUUAUGCUAAGGGUAUUCUAGUCAUUUUAGUUUUUCCAUUAUGCUAUUACACCUCUAUUCCAUUCAACCAAGCACAAGAUUACUAUUACGCCUCUAUUUCACUACAUUCAACCAAACAGUUGAUUUGCUAUUACACCUCUAUUCCAUUACACUUCUAUUUCAUUACACUUCUAAUCCAAUACAGCGAACCAAACGUGCCCGCUGUUUUGUAAGAAAAAUAUAUAAAAGAAACUGCUGCUCUCAUUAGUUUCCAUUUUACCACCACCAUUGCUUAUUACCCAUUAAAAAAGAAAGAAAAAAACAGGGAGGUAUCCAUAUUCCAUGGCGUUAUUAUAUUUUCCUACCCAAUUAAGCAUGCAGCACCACUGCUUUUCUUUCAAGCACAAGUGAGUGGUGGGAGAUUGCAUUGAGAAGGGAGUCGAGAAGCGAUCCUUAGAGUGCUGCAAAGGCAAUCAUGGUGCACCGAUUGGAGUGCGUUACAGCAGUCAAUGCUAGGGUUAGCCACAGCUGCACCGGGCACCACGAAAGGUGUGCACACGUUCAGGCUAAUCAUUCUGAAAUAAUAACUUGGCAAAGAGAUACCUGUGGAAGAUCCUCUUGCUCAGAGAAAGCACCCUUGCCUGACAAUAACAAGUCUAUGUGACAAGUUCUUGGUGUCGAUAAAGGAGAUCUAGGAGUCAUGCUUCCUGCAGACGAUGUUGUCAUUCCUUGAUCAACCUUUGGACCAAAGCGAGUUUUACAUGACAUGGAAGGUAGACCCUUAAGGUCAUCCAUAAAAACUGAAUUAUCAGCUUCAGGGAAACAAUCAAGCAUGUCUUCUGAACCUCUCCUUGACCAAUCACUUAGUUUAGGAGAUAGAACAUCAAAUUCUUCAGUCACACUCGAAUUUGAUGCUUUUGCAACAUCUGGGCCCCCUAAGUGUUGGAUAUCCUUAUUAGCAAAGGAAUCUGCCAUCUUCUCAAGUGUUUCAGCAAUUCUUACAAGACGUUCAUCAACACUUAAGCCGUUCUGAUCACAUCGAUCAGUAGCGGUACAUAUUCUUGAGUGAUCUUCCACAUUUGAGGUGGGAACCUCCUCCUCACAAAUGCGGCAUAUUAUAGAACUUCCUUCAGAAGCAGUCGGUUGGUCUCCCUGAGAACUCGAAGAAACUUUGUGUUGAUGCUUAGAAGGCUGCCCUUCAGAUUCUUUUGCAGCAGGAAGCUCCUGAAGGUUAAUAGAAGUCAGAUCUACAUCAGACGUCCCUGUUCUUUUCAGAGUUUCACUUGUGCUAUUAUGCUGCGCCUUAAUAGCAGUAACUUCCUUUGGACCUUUUCUGGCAGGAGUUGCGAGUUUCUUCCAAGAAGUUAUUUUGUCUAUGCUCACAGGAGACUCCAAGUUCUUUGGUGUGUCAUCAAUGGGAGCAAUGGAACUGAUACGAGUCAAGAAGGUGAUACUCAAGGGGUUAUUUUUCUUAGCGGUCCAAUCACUCGAAGCAAGGCACGACAAUUAAAAUCAAAGAUGAAUGCUUUUGUCCAAGACUUUGUUGCUACAAAUUUAAUUCAUCAUGUUCAUGACGUUGACAAAUACGGGAAUGCAAUUCACUGGACCAAUCUUGGAAUAGUGAAAGCCCAUAAAUUGGUAGAUUAAUCUUUUAUGUAUCUUAUUAUUAUUAUUUACUUAAUUCUCAUUGGUUGGGACACAUCACUUAUGAGUUUUAAGUAAUUUCAUUAGUUAGGUUAUUAUUUAUUUAUUUUCUUAGAUAAUUUUAAAGAGUUUUAUUAGGGUUUAAUUACUCUUGUAUUUUACCUAUAAAUAGACUUGCUUUCUACACAUUGAGGGGAAUAAAAAAAAGAGUAUUUAUUUUCUUCCAAAUUUGUGUGAGGCAAAUUUUUGAGAGUAGAGUGAUUCUUCUUUUGCUAUUUAGUUUGGAGUUUGUUACUUUCGAGGGUAUUUCGGAGUUACAAAUAUUCAAAUUUCUUUCCCGUUCAUCGGUGUUUCUAGAGGUUCUUCUUCUAGGGGUUUCGUAGGGAACCGCUCAAUCAUUUGCGUUUUUGGUUACAAGUUAACUAAGGGUUCCAUAGGGCAAAUCUAUCCUUUUUUUUCUUUUAACUAAUUUUAUUUAUUCUCAUUUUUAUUUCUAAUUUGUGUUUCUCUUGUGUCUAGAUCUGGGAUUCCGUAUCAGUUGGUAUCAGUUUCAGACCAUUCGGUGUUAUUUUUGAAGCUAAAAUCAUAUCCGAAACAAGUUAAAAUACCAAAAACACUUUUCAUUUAACACUUUUCAUUGGUUUCGUCAAUUACCAUUCGGUGUUAUUUUUGAAGCUAAAAUCAUAUCCGAAACGAGUCAAAAUACCAAAAACACUUUUCAUUGGUUUCGUCGAUUGCCAUUCAGUGUUAUUUUUGAAGCUAAAAUCAUAUCCGAAACGAGUCAAAAUACCAAAAACACUUUUCAUUGGUUUCGUCGAUUUUUUUUCUCCUCUUAUUCUUUAAAAAAAAGCAAAGAGUGCAAAAAAAAACUGAUGCGGAAUCCCGGAUCUAGACACAAGAGAAACACAAAUUAGAAGAAGAAAAACGCCAAUAAUUGAGAUAGAUUUGCCCUAUGGAACCAUUGGUUAACUUGUAACCAAAAACGCCAAUAAUUGAGCAGUUCCCUACGAAAUCCCUAGAAGAAGAACCUCUAUAAACACCGAUGAACGGGAAAGAAAUUUAAAUAUUUGUAACUCCGAAAUACCCUCGAAAGUAACAAACUCCAAACUAAAUAGCAAAAGAAGAAUCACUCUACUCUAAAAAAUUUGCCUGACACAAAUUUGGAAGAAAACAAAUACUCUUUUUUUUAUUCCCCUCAAUGUGUAGAAAGCAAGUCUAUUUAUAGGCAAAAUACAAGAGUAAUUGAACCCUAAUAGAACUCUUUAAAAUUAUCUAAGAAAAUAAAUAAAUAAUAACCUAACCAAUAAAAUUACUUAAAACUCAUAAGUGAUGUGUCUCAACCAAUGAGAAUUAAGCAAAUAAUAAUAAUAAGAUACAUAAAAGAUUAAUCCACCAAUUUAUGGGCUUUCACUAUUCCAAGAUUGGUUCAGUGAAUUGCAUUCCCGUAUUUGUCAACGUCACGAACAUGAUGAAUUAAAUUUGUAGCAACAAAGUCUUGGACAAAAGCAUUCAUCUUUGAUUUUAAUUGUCGUGCCUUGCUUCGAGUGAUUGGACCGCUAAGAAAAACAACCCCUUGAGUGUCACCUCCUUGGCUCAUAUCAGGAACCUCCUGGCAGGACAAUGUGGUCCUUACUCCAAUCCAAGGCAUGUUGCUCCUGACUAUAAGAUUUCUUAGACGAGGCUGCUUUUGAUGCCUUUGAUGAACCCAAACUUUUUGCUUUUCUUAGAACACCUGAAAAUUUUCUAUUGUCUACAGGAUGCAGGACUCUAGAUUGGCGAAGUUGUACCAAAGGUUCAUCCUCAGCCAACCCACUUUCUUUGUGGAACUGCAACAAUCUUGUACACCUUGUGAGAAUGAAAAGCAUCCGGGUAUAAAGCUGCUUCAGCACACACGCAGGAAGUUCUUGACGCUCAUCAUCUAGCUCCUGAACAAUGCCUUCACACUGAAGCCAAAACUCACCAGGUGGUGUCAUAGCACAGCUUCGAGCCAAAACCAGCAAAUCCUCAAUAGUUUCCUGCCACUCAGGAUGAUUGUCAGCAGUUCUUUCUAGAAAUCCAACAAGAUCUGCUGCAAAAAUAGCCAGAUCAGAGUUCACUUCCUCCUUUGCUUUGUCAAAUUUUGCUCUAAUAGCAACCAAGGUUUCCUGCAUAAAAAGAAAAUUCUAGUUAGAAACACAUAACUGAAUGAAAAUAGGAGGCAAGAAAUAGAAACAAACCUCCAAGUUGUUUAAGCGCCGAGGUUUCCAAAACGGAAAUGGUUGUACACCUUUGGAAUUUAGUUCAUGGGAAAAGCUCUUAAUAUCAGCAGGGAACCUCUUCCGAGGACCACUUGUAACACGGAGAAUAGCUUGAAAACGGGGCGAUUCAGAUUCCUUUGGGUUUUCACAAUCAAAUGAAAUCUGGGAAAGAAAUAACACAUCACAAGUUAAAACUUAAAAUGAAAACAGAAGGCAGUUGUCCCUAGUAAUACGUAACAGAAAAGUAAGGAUCAACGAAAAUACUACUGUACCUCUAGUGUACAAAAAUCUGAACUUUUUAAGCCUCCAGAGUGCCCAAGUGAUGACUCGUCUUGCCCUGGUAACAAAAUUCCAAGGUAUCAAAGCAACGUUUGAAAGAAGAAUCACAACAAAUUGCCAGCAAGCCUUCAUGCAGCGAAACCAUUUUAUUAUGACCCAGCGUUCCAAAUAAAAAGUAGUUUGAACCCCCAGAAAUUUUCUAAAAUAAAAAUCCUCUUCUAGUUAAAACAGAAAGGAGAAAUGAAAAAAAUGCACUCAAGAGAAAUGUUGCAGCUUCAGAGAAAUGCAUAACUAGAAAAGCAGUGGGGUCUUUCUUUAUGACAUUAGGAAGGAAGAAGAUGGUAACUAGAAAAGCCCCAAAAGUACUUUAACCAAAUCAUAAGGGUAGUAUUCCAAAGUCCAUAUCGAAGUUCAGAACUUCAGAUAGGUGGAGAUGGGGCAGUGACAGUAAAUACUCAAAAAACUUUGUUACAUAAGAAGCAUUUUAUAAUAACCAACAAUUUGAACUGGCAAUAUGAGAAAAGCAGUUCAUUUCAUAUCCUUUAUAAUCACAUCACCCUCUAAGGGGCAGUUUGAUUACUGAAUAUACCAAAUUAAAUGCAGCUGCUAAAAAUAUUAAGAAUCACAAGCAUAUCAGCAUCUUAGGGAAAUUCCCUUUAGCUCUCCCAAAAUCCAUAGCCCAUCAACCAUUUCUAUUUCUACUAAUCACCCAUCCACAUUCUACAUGCUCUUUCUAUUUUAAUCUCUUCAUUCUUGAAGAAGAUUAGUCCAGAAUUCAAAAAAAAAAGAUCCUGUUGAGACAUGGCAAGAAGAGACAAUGAAGAAAGGCCUACCAGAAUCCAAUAUAAUAUAAAAGAUGAAUCAGUAAGAUCACAAGUACUAUAUUUCUGUGUUGAACAUGAUAUAUUUACCCACUGCGAUCAGCAGUAAACAUAUCAUGCACUUUUAGCAAUUAAUUUUCAUAUGCUAAUGUUUCCCUCGACAAAAAUCUAAUAUUAACUGAGAUAAAUGAAACUUUACAGAAAUCCUUAGAGCAAAUUAUAUACCUUUCCAUUUGGAUUCUACCAGCUCAACCUAAUAGCACAAUUUUAAAAUUUUUCUUUAAAAAAAAAAAGGUAAAUUGGAAAUUUUCUUUACAAAGAAUCUUUAAAAUUCAAUCUCUGCAACAUGCCAAGUGCCAACUGUUCAAGAAAAAUGCACAAGAGCAUGGUAAAAGUAAAUAAUAUUAACUAAACCAUUGCAUGUCUUUUAUCAUCUCAGAGUGACAACAAUCAAACCAAAGCAACUUUGUCUGGCAACAUGUUCUUUUAGCAUCUUCAUCUGUGCUAGAGAGUAAAAUUCUUAAACAUCACCCUCUCUAUCUCUCAAUAAGUUUUAUAAGGCACCAAUUCAAAUGCACUUCCACAACUUAUCAUGCCUCGUGGUAAAGUUAAGCUUCGUGUUCAUUCUGCCUAGCCUUCUAACUUUCUGACCUACGGAAGAAUAGCUCAAAGCUUUAAUGCUAAUCUAAGAUAGGGUAAUUCUAAACAGAUGAUGAAAGCAUAAUAAACUGUUUUAGCAUCUACCAACCAACUGGUCAUGAAACAAGGAAAUCCAGAAAGAGUCCCGGAAUAGAGGAGAUAACAAAAAUAAGAACAGAUAACUAUAAAGCAACAAUACUGCCACUAAAGUAUCAUCAAUGGCAUAGUUGAAACAUCAAGCAUAUGAGAAAUACAAGAAACACUGGUGAGUCAAAGUAGGAACAGUACCAGCACCUGAAGAUGGUUCCCCGUUCUGCAACCGUGACUUCCCUUGCACACCAGGACUCUGCUCUCUUGAGUGCCAACCACCACCACUCCCAGUCGACAUACUAUCCGAAUUGCUCACAUUAUCAAGCAAACUGUCUUGCAAUAACCUCUUGGUCAAUACGUCUUUCUUCCCAGAACCUGAUUUCGACGAACUACCAUCGCCACCACUACUGGAACCUCCAGGCCCAGACAAGUUACUAGCUUCGAGCACUGAAGCCACUGGAUUUUUCUCACCUCGGAAGCUGAAAAAUGUCUCCUGCGGCAAGGGGCCAGAGCGGGUUUUAAUCCGGUUCAAACCCAAGGAGGAGGCUAGUAGGGGCGACUCGGAGGAGGACCUGUCCUUGGCAUCGGGCUUCUUGGAGGUAGAAGAAGAAGAGGGCUUAGAAGGUGGUGUUCGGGGUUUGAGGUCCUUGCUUCUAGGUCCGUCUUUUACUUGGGUUUGCUUGCAAGCAACGGGAGAGAAAAGGGAAGUGGAAGUGGAAGUGGAAGUGGAGGCCUGUUGGGAAGUAGGAGCUCUGGGUUUCUUCUGGUCGGAUCGGAUGGGGGAAUUGGAAGCAGAUCGAGGGCUGUUUGAUCCGUCAGAAUCAGAUUUCUUCGAAGAGAAGAAGAGCUUGUUUUUGAACACCAUUUCAUUUAUUCACUGUUUUCUUCAAGCACAAAGGAAGAAUGAAAGGCACCACUAAAUGAUUUUUCCACCAACCAUUUCUCUUCUUGAAUAAAACCAAGUUUGUUUGUUGUUCAAAUAAAAGAGAGCGUUGAAGAAGUUGGAUUUUGUUCAAAGCCUUGAGAUUGAAGAGAAAGAAUGCGACAUCUAAGGGGGCAAAGUAGAUGGAUCACGG